UACGAAGGGGGCUAUCGUUGUUCGGAAUCACUGGGCGUAAAGGGCGCGUAGGCGGCCUAGCAAGUCUGGUGUGAAAGCCCAGGGCUCAACCCUGGAAGGGCACUGGAAACUGUUAGGCUUGAGUUCCGGAGAGGAGGGGGGAAUUCCCGGUGUAGCGGUGAAAUGCGUAGAUAUCGGGAGGAAUACCGGUGGCGAAGGCGCCCCUCUGGACGGAAACUGACGCUGAGGCGCGAAAGCGUGGGGAGAAAACAGG
rnacentral:rRNA from 1 species